rnacentral:rRNA from 1 species
AUUGAACGCUGGCGGCGUGCCUAAUACAUGCAAGUCGAGCGAAUGGAUUAAGAGCUUGCUCUUAUGAAGUUAGCGGCGGACGGGUGAGUAACACGUGGGUAACCUGCCCAUAAGACUGGGAUAACUCCGGGAAACCGGGGCUAAUACCGGAUAACAUUUUGAACCGCAUGGUUCGAAAUUGAAAGGCGGCUUCGGCUGUCACUUAUGGAUGGACCCGCGUCGCAUUAGCUAGUUGGUGAGGUAACGGCUCACCAAGGCAACGAUGCGUAGCCGACCUGAGAGGGUGUUCGGCCACACUGGGACUGAGACACGGCCCAGACUCCUACGGGAGGCAGCAGUAGGGAAUCUUCCGCAAUGGACGAAAGUCUGACGGAGCAACGCCGCGUGAGUGAUGAAGGCUUUCGGGUCGUAAAACUCUGUUGUUAGGGAAGAACAAGUGCUAGUUGAAUAAGCCGGCACCUUGACGGUACCUAACCAGAAAGCCACGGCUAACUACGUGCCAGCAGCCGCGGUAA